AGUGAACGCUGGCGGUAGGCCUAACACAUGCAAGUCGAACGGGAGCACAGUAAGAGCUUGCUCUUACGGGUGGCGAGUGGCGGACGGUUGAGGAAUACAUCGGAAUCUACUUUUUCGUGGGGGAUAACGUAGGGAAACGUACGCUAAUACCGCAUACGACCUACGGGUGAAAGCAGGGGAUCUUCGGACCUUUCGCGAUUGAAUGAGCCGAUGUAGGCUUAGCUUGAUGGCGGGGUAAAGGCCCAGCAAGGCGACGAUCCGUAGCUGGUCUGACAGGAUGAUCAGACACCUUGUAACUGAGACACGGUCCCGACUCCUGCGGGAGGCAGCAGUGGGGAAUAUUGGACGAUGGGGGCAAGCCUGAUACAGCCAUACCGCGUGGGUGAAGAAGGCCUUCGGGUUGUAAAGCCCUUUUGUUGGGAAAGAAAAGCAGCAGUUUAAUACCCCGCUGUUCUGACGGUACCCAAAGAAUAAGCACCGGCUAACUUCGUG
rnacentral:rRNA from 1 species